AUUGAACGCUAGCGGCAGGCCUAACACAUGCAAGUCGCGCGAGCAGCGGACGGGUGAGUAAUGUAUGGGGAUCUGCCCGAUAGAGGGGGAUCACUACUGGAAAGGGUGGCUAAUACCGCAUACUAUCGGCUGAGCCCAUCGGGGAUUCGCGAGUAGGUGGGGUAAAGGCUCACCUAGGCGACGAUCUCUAGCUGGUCUGAGAGGAUGAUCAGACACACUGGGACUGAGACACGGCCCAGACUCCUACGGGAGGCAGCAGUGGGGAAUAUUGCACAAUGGGGGCAAGCCUGAUGCAGCCAUGCCGCGGGUAUGAAGAAGGCCUUAGGGUUGUAAAGUACUGUCAGCGGGGAGGCGUUACCCGCAGAAGAAGCACCGGCUAACUCCGUGCCAGCAGCCGCGGUAAUUC
rnacentral:rRNA from 1 species